CUAACACAUGCAAGUCGAGGGGUAUAGUUCUUCGGAACUAGAGACCGGCGCACGGGUGCGUAACGCGUAUGCAAUCUACCUUUCACAGAGGGAUAGCCCAGAGAAAUUUGGAUUAAUACCUCAUAGUAUAGUUUAAUCGCAUGGUUUAACUAUUAAAGUCACAACGGUGAAAGAUGAGCAUGCGUCCCAUUAGCUAGUUGGUAAGGUAACGGCUUACCAAGGCUACGAUGGGUAGGGGUCCUGAGAGGGAGAUCCCCCACACUGGUACUGAGACACGGACCAGACUCCUACGGGAGGCAGCAGUGAGGAAUAUUGGUCAAUGGACGCAAGUCUGAACCAGCCAUGCCGCGUGCAGGAUGACGGUCCUAUGGAUUGUAAACUGCUUUUGUACGAGAAGAAACACUAGUUCGUGAACUAGCUUGACGGUAUCGUAAGAAUAAGGAUCGGCUAACUCCGUGCCAGCAGCCGCGGUAAUACGGAGGAUCCAAGCGUUAUCCGGAAUCAUUGGGUUUAAAGGGUCCGUAGGCGGUUUAGUAAGUCAGUGGUGAAAGCCCAUCGCUCAACGGUGGAACGGCCAUUGAUACUGCUAAACUUGAAUUA
rnacentral:rRNA from 1 species